rnacentral:rRNA from 1 species
UAUUAAAGAUUUUAAUGAGAGUUUGAUCCUGGCUCAGGACGAACGCUGGCGGCGUGCCUAAUACAUGCAAGUAGAACGCUGAAGAGAGGAGCUUGCUCUUCUUGGAUGAGUUGCGAACGGGUGAGUAACGCGUAGGUAACCUGCCUUGUAGCGGGGGAUAACUAUUGGAAACGAUAGCUAAUACCGCAUAACAAUGGAUGACACAUGUCAUUUAUUUGAAAGGGGCAAUUGCUCCACUACAAGAUGGACCUGCGUUGUAUUAGCUAGUAGGUGAGGUAACGGCUCACCUAGGCGACGAUACAUAGCCGACCUGAGAGGGUGAUCGGCCACACUGGGACUGAGACACGGCCCAGACUCCUACGGGAGGCAGCAGUAGGGAAUCUUCGGCAAUGGGGGCAACCCUGACCGAGCAACGCCGCGUGAGUGAAGAAGGUUUUCGGAUCGUAAAGCUCUGUUGUAAGUCAAGAACGAGUGUGAGAGUGGAAAGUUCACACUGUGACGGUAGCUUACCAGAAAGGGACGGCUAACUACGUGCCAGCAGCCGCGGUAAUACGUAGGUCCCGAGCGUUGUCCGGAUUUAUUGGGCGUAAAGCGAGCGCAGGCGGUUUGAUAAGUCUGAAGUUAAAGGCUGUGGCUCAACCAUAGUUCGCUUUGGAAACUGUCAAACUUGAGUGCAGAAGGGGAGAGUGGAAUUCCAUGUGUAGCGGUGAAAUGCGUAGAUAUAUGGAGGAACACCGGUGGCGAAAGCGGCUCUCUGGUCUGUAACUGACGCUGAGGCUCGAAAGCGUGGGGAGCGAACAGGAUUAGAUACCCUGGUAGUCCACGCCGUAAACGAUGAGUGCUAGGUGUUGGAUCCUUUCCGGGAUUCAGUGCCGCAGCUAACGCAUUAAGCACUCCGCCUGGGGAGUACGACCGCAAGGUUGAAACUCAAAGGAAUUGACGGGGGCCCGCACAAGCGGUGGAGCAUGUGGUUUAAUUCGAAGCAACGCGAAGAACCUUACCAGGUCUUGACAUCCCGAUGCUAUUUCUAGAGAUAGAAAGUUACUUCGGUACAUCGGUGACAGGUGGUGCAUGGUUGUCGUCAGCUCGUGUCGUGAGAUGUUGGGUUAAGUCCCGCAACGAGCGCAACCCCUAUUGUUAGUUGCCAUCAUUCAGUUGGGCACUCUAGCGAGACUGCCGGUAAUAAACCGGAGGAAGGUGGGGAUGACGUCAAAUCAUCAUGCCCCUUAUGACCUGGGCUACACACGUGCUACAAUGGUUGGUACAACGAGUUGCGAGUCGGUGACGGCAAGCUAAUCUCUUAAAGCCAAUCUCAGUUCGGAUUGUAGGCUGCAACUCGCCUACAUGAAGUCGGAAUCGCUAGUAAUCGCGGAUCAGCACGCCGCGGUGAAUACGUUCCCGGGCCUUGUACACACCGCCCGUCACACCACGAGAGUUUGUAACACCCGAAGUCGGUGAGGUAACCUUUUGGAGCCAGCCGCCUAAGGUGGGAUAGAUGAUUGGGGUGAAGUCGUAACAAGGUAGCCGUAUCGGAAGGUGCGGCUGGAUCACCUCCUUUCUA